AUUUUAUUGUAAUUGUGCAUUUUAUUCUUACAUUUUAUCACUAAAACUAUGUGACAUUCUUGAUUUUAGACCAAAAAUAGAAAUAUACCAUCAUGCCACAGAGUUAUAAGAGGAAGACAGGCAGGGCAUACUGUAUGGAGAAGGAGCAGAACAUGAAGGCACUAGCAGUAAUGUUUCACGGUCUAAGUCCCAUGAAAUGCUGUGAACUUGCUCUUGAGUACGCAAAAAUAAAUGACAUCGAUAUCCCUGCCAGCUGGAUCAGAGAGGAAAAAGCAGAUUUGGUUAAGGGUGCAUUUAUUUAUAAAAAGGGAAAAAAGUAAAAGGGAAGAUUAACAAUUAUUUCCCCAGGAAUGCUCAAUGCAGAUAAGAGAAGCACAAUGGGUACUUAUUUAGAGCGUAUAGCUUCAACUUAUCUAAAGACAAGGGACUCAAGGGCUCAAUAAGGGACAAUUUAAGAGAUAGGCUAAUAAUACUAAUAAACUUUUAAUAUUUUCUAGGAUAUGAUUGGUUUGGAGCCUUUAAAGUAUGCCGUCAUUUGUCAUGCCGCACUCCUGAAGCAACCUCUGUUGGUAGAGCUACUGCAAUUAAUAGGCACAACGUGGGGGAGUUCUUUGAUAACCUAAAGUGAUGGACAGGUAUGACUUCCUUCCACACAAGAUCUACAACGUGAAUGAAACUGGUGUGACAACGGAAAAUGACCUUUGAUGUGCUCAUGUGGUGCAAUAGGCUUGUAGAAAAUUGGCCUUUGAUGUUGUAAAAUAACUUUAAAUAAACCUUAAAUGAGUAAUUUUGUAUUGAA